rnacentral:rRNA from 1 species
CGAAAGCUAGUUGUAUUAUUAGUUAAUGCAAGAUCGACUACGUCGACUAAAGUUCUAGGUAGAAUAAUGAUGAUGACAAUUUUUUACCUAUAUGUCUUGACCAAGUCUCGUGCCAGCAGUCGCGGUAAUACGUGGAAGACUAGUGUUAUUCAUCUUUAUUAGGUUUAAAGGGUACCUAGACGGUAUUUCUAGCCCAAAAUAGGGUACGGAUUUACUAGAGUUUUAUGUGAGGAGGGGAGUACUCGUGGAGUAGAGAUGAAAUUUUGUUAUACUAUGAGGUAACUGGUGGCGGCGAAAGCAACCUUCUAUGUAUAAACUGACGUUGAGGGACGAAGGCUUGGGUAGCAAAUAGGAUUAGAUACCCUAGUAGUCCAAGCAGACAAUUCUGAAUGCCAUAGAUUAGAUUUUUUUUGAUCUAUAAAUGAAAGUGUAAGCAUUCCACCUUAGGAGUAAUGUGGCAACACAGGAACUGAAAUCAUUAGACCGUUUCUGAAACCAGUAGUGAAGUAUGUUAUUUAAUUUGAUGGUCCACAAAAAACCUUACCACAACUUGAAUAUUUUUUAAUUAAUACAAGCGUUGCACGGCUGUCUUCAGUUAAUGUCGUGAGAUUUUGGUUAACUCCAUUAAUUAACGUAAACCCUUACUUUAUUUA